AACGCAUAUUGCACCCUCUGGUAUUCUGGGGGGUAUACCUGUUCGAGCGUCAUUACAAACAUCAAGCACUGCUUGGUAUUAGAUGUAAUUGCAACAAAUUCGUCCUAAAAUAAGUGGCUGUAGCAUCUGGCUUCCAGCGUAGUAAAUUUCUCGCUGUGGAUACUCAGUUGUUUAUUGCCAACAACCACUAUUUUUCAAGUUGACCUCGGAUCAGGUAGGGAUACCCGCUGAACUUAA
rnacentral:misc_RNA from 1 species